GACAGAGGUGCCGAGCGUUAGGCGGAAUCACUGGGCUUAAAGCGUGUGUAGGCGGGCCGUUAAGUGGUCUUGUGAAAUCCCCCGGCUCAACCGGGGAAUUGCUGGGCAUACUGGGCGGUCUUGGAGCGAUCGUAGGGGCAGAUGGAACAAGUGGUGGAGCGGUGAAAUGCGUAGAUAUCGACUUGGAACGCCGAAAGGUGAAAACAGGUCGCUGGGGACGCGCCGACGCUGAGACACGGAAAGCCAGGGGAGCGAACGGG
rnacentral:rRNA from 1 species